AUUGAACGCUGGCGGCAGGCCUAACACAUGCAAGUCGAACGGAAGAACGGUGCUUGCUCCUGUAUUCAGGGGCGGAGGGGCGUAUAAUGCCGGGGAACCUCCCUGCUAGCUGGGGAUAGCGUGCGAAAAUGGGCGCUAAUACGGCAAACGCCCCUAGGGAGAAAGUGGGGGAGCAUGGGAUCUCAGGCUAUCAGGUGAGCGCAGGUCGGAAUAGCUAGUUGGUGGGGUAAAGGCCUACCGAGGCGACGAUCCGUAACUGGUCUGAGAGGAUGAUCAGGCACACUGGAACUGAGACACGGUCCAGACUCCUACGGGAGGCAGCAGUGGGGAAUAUUGGACAAUGGGCGAAAGCCUGAUCCAGCCAUGCCGCGUGUGUGAAGAAGGUCUUCGGAUUGUAAAGCACUUUUAGUUGGGAGGAAGGGCAGCAAGUUAAUACCUUGCUGUUUUGACGGUACCAACAGAAUAAGCACCGGCUAACUUCGUG
rnacentral:rRNA from 1 species